GAGGCAGCAGACCCGAGACUGGAUAUGAUGGUUCAGACCAGAUGUCUGGGAUUGGAUCUGUAGCUGAAUCUCUGCUGAGGCUAGUGGUACCUGGAGAUGACAUAUCUGAUACCCAGUCUCUGAGAAGCUCUGUGUACAGCUCCCAGACAUCAGAACCAGUAUGUGAGCACAACUCUGGAUCAAAGAGUUCUAGAGAAAAAUCCAGCUUGGAUGUCAUGAGUUUUGUACUCAGAAGAAUCUUUUGUAGUCAGAAGUAUCCAUGCAUCAGUGAUGCAUCAAACCAUGAAUCUGAACACAGCUCUACAUCUACACCAGCGGAACGUGUAAGUAGACUAAUCCAUCAUUGCCUCAGUGUUUCAGUUCAACUCUAUUAAAGAUUCUCAAGACUCACAGUUUGAAUAUUGUAGGACAGUCAGUAUUUUAAAGUACUUAAAUGUUUUCUCUCCUCAAAUGUUGUGUAAGGUCAAGUUUGUAUCCAUCAGUUGUGUAAAAUUGAUCCAGCUAUAUGCCUCAAUAAUUAAUAAUAAUAAAAUAAGCCACUGUCUUAAUUCAUAACUACAGAAGUCUAUUCCUUUCAUAUGGUAUUCAGGCAUGUAGUUGGAUCUGCUCAAGUUAAUUUAUUUUAAAAAUGUUUUUAUUUAACCCUAACUAGGCUGGGCCAAUUGUGUGCCCCCCUAUGGGCCUCUCAAUCAUGGCCGGUUGUGAUACAGCCUGGAAACAAACCAAGGUCUGUAGUGACACCUCGAGCACUGAGAUGCAGUGCCUUAGACCGCUGCGCCAGUCGGGACCACUCACAACUAUCAUCAUGUUGACAUUAGACCACGUUUCAGGUCCUGAGAGCCACUCGGGACCACUCACAACUAUCAUCAUGUUGAUAUUAGACCACGUUUCAGGUCCUGAGAGCCACUCGGGACCACUCACAACUAUCAUCAUGUUGAUAUUAGACCACAUUUCAGGUGCUGAGAGCCACUCGGGACCACUCACAACUAUCAUCAUGUUGAUAUUAGACCACGUUUCAGGUCCUGAGAGCCACUCGGGACCACUCACAACUAUCAUCAUGUUGACAUUAGACCACGUUUCAGGUCCUGAGAGCCACUCGGGACCACUCACAACUAUCAUCAUGUUGAUAUUAGACCACGUUUCAGAUCUUGAAAUAUCGGACAAACAUUUUGUAGUGAACUAUCACAAAGGGUUCAUCUGCAGCUGCUACAGGACAGAUUUUUUUUUUUACAUACUAUAAAUGAAUGAUAUGUACCCAUUGUGUCUUAACGAAUAUAACUUAGAAAGGCCUCAUGAGCUUAGAUCUGUAAUACUCCAUCAGAACCCAAAAUAUAAGCUUGUUUUACUCCAAUGUUUAUAAACAAAAUAAAUGUAAACAAACACUGUAUAGCCUCAAAGCAUGGUUGAAACAAUCAUUUUGAUAUCAUGGAUGGUCAGUCCUUGCAUCCAUAGCUCUGUCUAUGAAUUAAAGAGUGGUUACAUUUCUCCAGCCUCGUCCCUUAGCUUUUU